GAGAAGAGUCAAGAGACGCGGAAACUGCUAAUUAUCCACCCCUACGGUUAAAAUCCGUAGUCUACUCA
rnacentral:tRNA from 2 species